UGCUACAAUGGUCCGUACAGAGGGCUGCGGACUCGGCGACGGGAAGCGAAUCCCUUAAAGCGGAUCUCAGUUCGGAUUGCAGGCUGCAACCCGCCUGCAUGAAGUCGGAAUCGCUAGUAAUCGCAGGUCAGCAUACUGCGGUGAAUACGUUCCCGGGCCUU
rnacentral:rRNA from 1 species